rnacentral:RNase_MRP_RNA from 2 species
UCCUCGCUCAAAGAAUCGCAUUCAAAGCUCACGCACAGAGGUACUCCCUGAACAAACCGGUGAGAAGCCUCAUACCAACCUCCUUUUUUAAAAAGGCUUUGGGAGAAAGUCCCCGGACAUCCUGCCCAAAUCCUUCUUUCAAGGGUUUGGCUCUCGUCAGGCAAUGCGGAAACGCGCCGCCAUAGAAGCAGUUCGAUAGCGGCUUACGCCCCCUUGUCCUUCCUUUCCCCGGUUCCUCGAUUGUACCCGACGCCAGGACUUUUCACAGGUCGUGGUAGAAACAAUGGUGGUCAGUUGGGGUUCUGGGAGGAAGGGGGUCUUUCGACCCUUUGGGGGUUGCUCUUAGUCGUGGUUGGAUAGUCAUGCGAUUGCCUGUCCUUUUUUCAUCCCUUUCGAGGGAUGGGGAUCAGGUAACUCAAUGGGGCUCAUUCUUGAGGCGAGG